rnacentral:tRNA from 1 species
GCCCUUGUAGCUCAGUUGGCAAGAGCGUUUUUUAUGUUAUGACGCCGGUUCAAGUCCGGCCAGGGGCA